ACACGUAAGGAUCUGCCCCUUGAUGAAGAAUACCUUCGAGAAAUUGAAGUUAAUACUGCAUAAGUCGAGAAAUCGAGAAAGACGGCCUAAUAGCUGUCGUCGAGGGAUGAACUUGCGGCCUAUUAGCUAGUUGGUAGGGUAAAGGCCUACCAAGGCAAGGAUGGGUAGCCGGCCUGAGAGGGUGUACGGCCACAUUGGGACUGAGAUACGGCCCAGACUCCUACGGGAGGCAGCAGUGGGGAAUAUUGCGCAAUGGACGAAAGUCUGACGCAGCGACGCCGCGUGAAGGAAGACGGUUUUCGGAUUGUAAACUUCUGUUAAGUGGGAAGAAAUACGCCUGGUUAAUACCCAGGUGGGCUGACGGUACCACUAGAGAAAGCACCGGCAAACUUCGUGCCAGCAGCCGCGGUAAUACGAAGGGUGCAAGCGUUAUUCGGAGUGACUGGGCGUAAAGAGCGCGUAGGCGGCUUUAUAAGUCGCGUGUUAAAUUCCACAGCUUAACUGUGGGUCAGCAUGCGAAACUGUAAGGCUAGAGGUUAAGAGAGAGCAGUGGAAUUCUCGGAGUAGCGGUAAAAUGCGUAGAUCUCGAGAGGAACACCGGUAGCGAAGGCGGCUGCUUGGCUUAUACCUGACGCUGAGGCGCGAAAGCGUGGGGAGCAAACAGGAUUAGAUACCCUGGUAGUCCACGCCGUAAACGAUGAUCACUAGACGUCGGUAGUGCUUAGCAUUAUCGGUGUCGUAGCUAACGCGAUAAGUGAUCCGCCUGGGAAGUACGGUCGCAAGAUUAAAACUCAAAGAAAUUGACGGGGGUCCGCACAAGCGGUGGAACAUGUGGUUUAAUUCGACACUACGCGAGGAACCUUACCUGGGCUUGACAUGUAAUUGCUACUGGUGGAAACACUGGGUCCUGUGAGCAAUCAUAGGCGAUUACACAGGUGCUGCAUGGCUGUCGUCAGCUCGUGUCGUGAGAUGUUGGGUUAAGUCCUUUAACGAGCGCAACCCUUGUCGUUAGUUGCUACAUUUAGUUGAGCACUCUAGCGAGACUGCCACGGAAACGUGGAGGAAGGUGGGGAUGACGUCAAGUCCUCAUGGCCCUUAUGUCCAGGGCUACACACGUGUUACAAUGGCCGGUACAAAGCGGAGCGAAAUCGCGAGAUUGAGCAAAACGUAAAAAGCCGGUCUAAGUUCAGAUUGCAGUCUGCAACUCGACUGCAUGAAGUUGAAAUCGCUAGUAAUCGCGGAUCAGCCAUGCCGCGGUGAAUAUGUUCCUGAGCCUUGUACACACUGCCCGUCAAGCCACGAAAGCGAGGAGUGCUCGAAGUCGCUUUGUCCAACCGAAAGGGGGACGG
rnacentral:rRNA from 1 species